rnacentral:rRNA from 1 species
AUACGUAGGGUGCAAGCGUUAAUCGGAAUUACUGGGCGUAAAGCGUGCGCAGGCGGUUUUGUAAGACAGUGGUGAAAUCCCCGGGCUCAACCUGGGAACUGCCAUUGUGACUGCAAGGCUGGAGUGCGGCAGAGGGGGAUGGAAUUCCGCGUGUAGCAGUGAAAUGCGUAGAUAUGCGGAGGAACACCGAUGGCGAAGGCAAUCCCCUGGGCCUGCACUGACGCUCAUGCACGAAAGCGUGGGGAGCAAACAGGAUUAGAUACCCUGGUAGUCCACGCCCUAAACGAUGUCAACUGGUUGUUGGGUCUUCAUUGACUCAGUAACGAAGCUAACGCGUGAAGUUGACCGCCUGGGGAGUACGGCCGCAAGGUUGAAACUUAAAGGAAUUGGCGGGG